GGCGAGUGAAGCGGCAAAAGCUCAAAUUUGAAAUCCUUCGGGAGUUGUAAUUUGUAGGUUGGGAGACCCCGCGGCUAGUGGCACCAAGUCCCUUGGAACAGGGCGCCUUAGAGGGUGAGAGCCCCGUAGGUACCACGACGCCGUCUUUGUGUCUCCUCUCCAAAGAGUCGAGUUGUUUGGGAAUGCAGCUCAAAGUGGGUGGUAAAUUCCAUCUAAAGCUAAAUACCGGCGAGAGACCGAUAGCGAACAAGUACAGUGAUGGAAAGAUGAAAAGCACUUUGAAAAGAGAGUGAAACAGUACGUGAAAUUGUUGAAAGGGAAGGGCUUGCAAGCAGACACGGCCUUCGUGCCGGGCCAGCAUCGGUUGCUAGGGGUGGAUAAGGAACAAGGAAUGUAGCUCCUCGGAGUAUUAUAGCCUUGCGCGAUACACCCACUGGCGACCGAGGCCUGCGGUAUUCUUUACCUAGGAUGCUGGCGUAAUGGUUGCAAGC
rnacentral:rRNA from 1 species